UACAGAGGGGGCAAGCGUUGUUCGGAAUUACUGGGCGUAAAGGGCCAGUAGGCGGCCAACUAAGUCCGACGUGAAAUCCCAAGGCUUAACCUUGGAACUGCGUCGGAUACUGGAUGGCUUGAAUUCGGGAGAGGGAUGCAGAAUUCCAGGUGUAGCGGUGAAAUGCGUAGAUAUCUGGAGGAAUACCGGUGGCGAAGGCGGCAUCCUGGACCAUUACUGACACUGUCCGCGAAAGCUAGGGGAGCAAACGGG
rnacentral:rRNA from 1 species